rnacentral:rRNA from 1 species
CAAUGCGAGCAAUCGUGAUAAGGGAACUCCGAGUGCCCGUAAAAUCGGGCUGUCCGCCAGUGUAAAUAACUGGUGAAGAAAGGGCCGGGCAAGACCGGUGCCAGCCGCCGCGGUAAUACCGGCGGCUCGAGUGGUGGCCACUAUUACUGGGCUUAAAGCGUUCGUAGCUGGUCUGUUAAGUCUCUGGGGAAAUCUUCCGGCUUAACCGGAAGGCGUCUCAGGGAUACUGGCAGACUAGGGACCGGAAGAGGUGAGAGGUACUCCAGGGGUAGGAGUGAAAUCCUGUAAUCCUUGGGGGACCACCUGUG